rnacentral:rRNA from 1 species
CCUACGUGCGGCAGCAGUGGGGAAUAUUGCACAAUGGGGGAAACCCUGAUGCAGCAACGCCGCGUGAAGGAAGACGGUUUUCGGAUUGUAAACUUCUGUUCUUAGUGAAGAAGAAUGACGGUAGCUAAGGAGCAAGCCACGGCUAACUACGUGCCAGCAGCCGCGGAAAUACGAAGGUGGCAAGCGUUGCCCGGAAUUACGGGGUGGAAGGGGAGCGCAGGCGGGAAGCCAAGUCAGCUGUGAAAACUACGGGCGUAACCCGGGCCGGCCGUUGAAACUGGGGAUCUUGAGUGGGCGAGAAGUAUGCGGAAUGCGUGGUGUAGCGGUGAAAUGCAUAGAUAUCACGCAGAACUCCGAUUGCGAAGGCAGCAUACCGGCGCCCGACUGACGCUGAGGCACGAAAGCGUGGGGAUCGAACAGGAUUAGAUACCCGGGUAGUC